rnacentral:rRNA from 1 species
GACGAACGCUGGCGGCGUGCUUAACACAUGCAAGUCGAACGGAAAGGCCCUGCUUUUGUGGGGUGCUCGAGUGGCGAACUGGUGAGUAACACGUGAGUAACCUGCCCUUGACUUUGGGAUAACUUCAGGAAACUGGGGCUAAUACCGGAUAGGAGCUCCUGCUGCAUGGUGGGGGUUGGAAAGUUUCGGCGGUUGGGGAUGGACUCGCGGCUUAUCAGAUUGUUGGUGGGGUAGUGGCUUACCAAGGCUUUGACGGGUAGCCGGCCUGAGAGGGUGACCGGACACAUUGGGACUGAGAUACGGCACAGACUCCUACGGGAGGCAGCAGUGGAGAAUAUUGUACAAUGGGCGGAAGGCUGAUGCAGCAAAGCCGCGUGCGGGAUGACGGCAUUCGGGUUGUAAACCGAUUUCGCCUGUGACGAAGCGUGAGUGACGGUAAUGGGUAAAGAAGCACCGGCUAACUACGUG